rnacentral:tRNA from 1 species
GGGGAUAUGGCUUGGUAGUAAAGUGCUUGCUUGAUAUGCAUGAGGUCCUGGGUUCCAUCCCAAGUACCACAA